rnacentral:rRNA from 1 species
AGGAGGCAGCAGGCGCGCAAUUACCCACUCCCGGCACGGGGAGGUAGUGACGAGAAAUAACGAUACGGGACUCAUCCGAGGCCUCGUAAUCGCAAUGAGUACACUUUAUAUAUGUGUGCGAGCAUCAAUUGGAGGGCAAGUCUGGUGCCAGCAGCCGCGGUAAUUCCAGCUCCAAUAGCGUAUAAUAAUGCUGUUGCGGUUAAAAAGUUCGUAGUUUGACUUGGGCACCGCCGCCAGUGUCCUUGCCUUAGGGAUUCGGUUCUGUGCAUGCGCGGCGUUCUCAGCCGGUGGGCUUGCAGUGUUUGGAGGAACUCUUGUUGUAUGGUAACCCUAGGUAAUGCCGUCUGCUAAUACUACGGCGGAAUUUACCUUAGGGUUAUUUAGAGUCUCGCUCUUUACGCUGUCCAAGCUCAUGAAACACUAUUUUGUUGCUCUUUACCGGGCGGCGGAAUGGGCCGGCAUUUUUACUUUGAAUAAACUGGAGUGCUCAAAGCAUGCCUAUGUGUUUGUCUAUAAACUCAUGGAAUAAUGAAAUAAGAUCUCUGAUCUGUUUCGUUGGGCUUGCAGGUCCAUAGGAAAUGAUCAACAUGGACGGGCGUGGGCAUUCGUAUUGCGGCGUUAGAGGUGAAAUUCUUAUAUCUUUGCAAGACGGACAGAAGCGAAAGCGUUUGCCAAGUACUUUCCUAUUGAUCGAGAACGAGAGUCAGAGGCUCGAAGGCGAUUAGAUACCGCCCUAGUUUUGACCGUAAACUAUGCCUGCCAUCUAUCCGUAGAGUUUCUCUUGACUCUGCGGGCAGACACCGAGAGACCUGAGCUUAUGGGUUCCGGGAGAAGUAUGGUUGCGAUGCCGAGACUUACAGGAAUUGACGGAAGGGCACCACCAGGAGUGGAGCCUGCGGCUUAAUCUGACUCAACACGGGGAAACUUAUCAAGCCCGGACGCCGGAAGGAUUGACAGAUUGAGAGCUCUUUCUUGAUUCGGUGGGUGGUGGUGCAUGGCCGUUCUUAGUUGGUGGAGCGAUUUGUCUGGUUAAUUCCGAUAACGAACGAGACUCUGACCUGCUAACUAGACGCUGCCCGGUAU